rnacentral:rRNA from 1 species
AUUGAACGCUGGCAGCAGGCCUAACACAUGCAAGUCGAGCGGAUGAAGGGAGCUUGCUCCUGGAUUCAGCGGCGGACGGGUGAGUAAUGCCUAGGAAUCUGCCUGGUAGUGGGGGAUAACGUCCGGAAACGGGCGCUAAUACCGCAUACGUCCUGAGGGAGAAAGUGGGGGAUCUUCGGACCUCACGCUAUCAGAUGAGCCUAGGUCGGAUUAGCUAGUUGGUGGGGUAAAGGCCUACCAAGGCGACGAUCCGUAACUGGUCUGAGAGGAUGAUCAGUCACACUGGAACUGAGACACGGUCCAGACUCCUACGGGAGGCAGCAGUGGGGAAUAUUGGACAAUGGGCGAAAGCCUGAUCCAGCCAUGCCGCGUGUGUGAAGAAGGUCUUCGGAUGGUAAAGCACUUUAAGUUGGGAGGAAGGGCAGUAAGUUAAUACCUUGCUGUUUUGACGUUACCAACAGAAUAAGCACCGGCUAACUUCGUG